rnacentral:rRNA from 1 species
UACAGAGGGUGCAAGCGUUAUUCGGAAUUAUUGGGCGUAAAGAGCACGUAGGCGGUUUAGUAAGUUUGCUGUGAAAACCCACGACUCAAUCGUGGAAGUGCAGUGAAUACUGCUAGACUAGAGUACUGGAGAGGAGAACGGAAUUCCUGGUGUAGAGGUGAAAUUCGUAGAUAUCAGGAGGAACAACGGAGGCGAAGGCGGUUCUCUGGACAGUAACUGACGCUGAGGUGCGAAAGCGUGGGGAGCGAACAGG